GACGAACGCUGGCGGCGUGCCUAAUACAUGCCAGUAGGACGCACAGUCUAUACCGUAGCUUGCUACACCAUAGGCUGUGAGUUGCGAACGGGUGAGUAACGCGUAGGUAACCUGCCUAUUAGAGGGGGAUAACUAUUGGAAACGAUAGCUAAUACCGCAUAACAGUAUGUAACACAUGUUAGAUGCUUGAAAGAUGCAAUUGCAUCGCUAGUAGAUGGACCUGCGUUGUAUUAGCUAGUAGGUAGGGUAAUGGCCUACCUAGGCGACGAUACAUAGCCGACCUGAGAGGGUGAUCGGCCACACUGGGACGGAGACACGGCCCAGACUCCUACGGGAGGCAGCAGUAGGGAAUCUUCGGCAAUGGGGGGAACCCUGACCGAGCAACGCCGCGUGAGUGAAGAAGGGUUUCGGAUCGUAAAGCUCGGUUGUUAAGGAAGAACGAGUGUGAGAAUGGAAAGUUCAUACUGUGACGGUACUUAACCAGAAAGGGACGGCUAACUACGUG
rnacentral:rRNA from 1 species